UGGGUUUUAGCUCAGUGGUAGAGCACUUGCCUAGCAUGUAUGAAGCACUGGGUUCGAUUCUCAGCACCGCAG
rnacentral:tRNA from 1 species